rnacentral:rRNA from 1 species
GGGAGGUAGUGACAAUAAAUAACAAUACGGGGUUCUUUAGGAUCUCGUAAUUGGAAUGAGUACAAUUUAAAUCUCUUAACGAGGAACAAUUGGAGGGCAAGUCUGGUGCCAGCAGCCGCGGUAAUUCCAGCUCCAAUAGCGUAUAUUAAAGUUGUUGCAGUUAAAAAGCUCGUAGUUGAAUUUCGGGGUUAGUAGGUUGGUCAUGCCUCUGGUAUGUACUGGUCUCACUGAUUCCUCCUUCCUGAUGAGCCGUAAUGCCAUUAAUUUGGUGUUGCGGGGAAUUUGGACUGUUACUUUGAAAAAUUAGAGUGUUUAAAGCAAGCUAACGCUUGAAUACAUUAGCAUGGAAUAAUGAAAUAGGACGUUCGAUCCUAUUUUGUUGGUUUCUAGGAUUGACGUAAUGAUUAAUAGGGAUAGUUGGG